GCAGCCGUAGCUCAGCUGGAUAGAGCAACGGAUUUCUAAUCCGUAGGUCACAGGUUCAAGUCCUGUCGGCUGUGCCA
rnacentral:tRNA from 1 species